GACAGAGGCCCCGAGCGUUAGUCGGAAUUACUGGGCUUAAAGGGUGCGUAGGCGGGCGUGUAAGUGCUUUGUGAAAGCCCUGGGCUCAACCCAGGAACCGCAGGGCAUACUGCACGUCUUGAAGUAGCUAGAGGCCGGUGGAACGAUCGGUGGAGCGGUGGAAUGCGUAGAUAUCAGGAGGAACACCGGUGGCGAAGGCGGGUCUCUGGGCAACAACUGACGCUGAGGAGCGAAAGCGUGGGGAGCGAACAGG
rnacentral:rRNA from 1 species